rnacentral:rRNA from 1 species
AGGGAAAGGCGAAAAGAACCCCGGCGAGGGGAGUGAAAAAGAACCUGAAACCGUGUACGUACAAGCAGUGGGAGCCUCUUAAUGGGGUGACUGCGUACCUUUUGUAUAAUGGGUCAGCGACUUAUAUUCUGUAGCAAGGUUAACCGAAUAGGGGAGCCGAAGGGAAACCGAGUCUUAACUGGGCGUUAAGUUGCAGGGUAUAGACCCGAAACCCGGUGAUCUAGCCAUGGGCAGGUUGAAGGUUGGGUAACACUAACUGGAGGACCGAACCGACUAAUGUUGAAAAAUUAGCGGAUGACUUGUGGCUGGGGGUGAAAGGCCAAUCAAACCGGGAGAUAGCUGGUUCUCCCCGAAAGCUAUUUAGGUAGCGCCUCGUGAAUUCAUCUCCGGGGGUAGAGCACUGUUUCGGCAAGGGGGUCAUCCCGACUUACCAACCCGAUGCAAACUGCGAAUACCGGAGAAUGUUAUCACGGGAGACACACGGCGGGUGCUAACGUCCGUCGUGAAGAGGGAAACAACCCAGACCGCCAGCUAAGGUCCCAAAGUCAUGGUUAAGUGGGAAACGAUGUGGGAAGGCCCAGACAGCCAGGAUGUUGGCUUAGAAGCAGCCAUCAUUUAAAGAAAGCGUAAUAGCUCACUGGUCGAGUCGGCCUGCGCGGAAGAUGUAACGGGGCUAAACCAUGCACCGAAGCUGCGGCAGCGACACUAUGUGUUGUUGGGUAGGGGAGCGUUCUGUAAGCCUGUGAAGGUGGCCUGUGAGGGUUGCUGGAGGUAUCAGAAGUGCGAAUGCUGACAUAAGUAACGAUAAAGCGGGUGAAAAGCCCGCUCGCCGGAAGACCAAGGGUUCCUGUCCAACGUUAAUCGGGGCAGGGUGAGUCGACCCCUAAGGCGAGGCCGAAAGGCGUAGUCGAUGGGAAACAGGUUAAUAUUCCUGUACUUGGUGUUACUGCGAAGGGGGGACGGAGAAGGCUAUGUUGGCCGGGCGACGGUUGUCCCGGUUUAAGCGUGUAGGCUGGUUUUCCAGGCAAAUCCGGAAAACCAAGGCUGAGGCGUGAUGA